CCUGGCGGCGACAGCGCCGGUGGUCCCAGCCUGACCCCAUGCCGAACUCAGAAGUGAAACGCCGUAGCGCCGAUGGUAGUGUGGGGUCUCCCCAUGCGAGAGUAGGGAACUGCCAGGC
rnacentral:rRNA from 1 species